ensembl:lncRNA
GUAACUACAGAAACAGAGAAAUCCACCUGUUUUGCUGAUGGCCGAACAUUGAAAUGAUGGCAAGGCAAGGAGUUUCUAGUUACAAAAGUACAAGAUGGAAUAUACUCUAGUCACAUCGAGAAAAUGAGAAGCCAAGGAGAAAAAAAGGUGUCAGACAAGUGGGAGUGCCAAGAGCAGGAGAGAAAUUUCAGGAGCCCAGUUUAUAGAAUGCUGAAUUAAACACUGAUGAAUAAGACACUGCAUUGUUCUUCUAAUUACCAAGUGCAAAUAUGACUUGAUGAAGCCAGUAAAAGACUCCGUUUCCUUUGCUCUACUUACAUUACACCAAGGUCGACCGACCGAAACCUAAAUCUGGUCCUGGCAAGAUCUUCAUACAAGAAGGAAGGAAGAAUGGUCUAUUUAAAUGAAACUGCAGUUUCCGAGUAGUAUUACAAAAUACACUUAUCU